ACCUUUUCUGCCCCACAUCGUGCUCUUGCAGUGUUCUCCCCGCAGGUGCUGCAUGGAGUGAGUGGCGGCAUCCACCGUGAGGAGGAGAGGAGCUCUGAUACCCUCAGGACCCGCCAGGAGGGGCAUCACGGAGGCUUCUGGACGACUUGGAGCUGUGUCCUGGGGAGAAAACCGCUCCUGUCUGGGCCCUGAGUGCUGAGGAGGAAGCUGCCAUGCACUUUUCCCUGGCAUUUUUCCUGCAUGGUUCGUCUGUGUUUUUGCAAAUGACAUGUUGUCAUGAAUUUUUAUGCAUGAGGCAUAUUUCAUCAUGUCUGUAUGCUGAAGUCCCUUCAUCCUUUCAUUGGUUGGUGGACAGGAGAGAGAGGUCCAAGGUGCCCUACAUCGUGCGUCAGUGCGUGGAGGAGAUCGAGCGCCGAGGCAUGGAGGAGGUGGGCAUCUACCGCAUGUCUGGGGUGGCCGCAGACAUCCAGGCACUGAAGGCAGGCUUCAACGUCAGUGAGUGUCGGCCUGCGCAGGACGGGAUGGAGGUGUGGGCAGUGGUGUCCACGAUGAGAUCUCAGAGUGCUCCAUGGCCCAGGCAUGUCACAUCCUUCUCUGUGUCUUUUCUUCAUUUACUGUUUUAUUAUUUUUAAAAAAGAGAAAACAAGAGUUGUACAAACAGCUUC
rnacentral:lncRNA from 1 species